CGCCGUUCUCAGGGCGGGGUGAAAGUCCCCACCGGCGGUAUGCGGCUUGGCCGCGAGCCCGCGAGCGCCUUCCCCGGAAGGGUCAGCAGACCAGGUGCGAUGCCUGGGCCGACGGUCACAGUCCGGAUGAGAGAGAACGUGC
rnacentral:ncRNA from 2 species